rnacentral:rRNA from 1 species
AUUGAACGCUGGCGGCAGGCUUAACACAUGCAAGUCGAGCGAGCGGCGGACGGGUGAGUAAUGUCUGGGAAACUGCCUGAUGGAGGGGGAUAACUACUGGAACCGGUAGCUAAUACCGCAUACCAUCAGAUGUUCCCAGAUGGGAUUAGCUAGUAGGUGGGGUAAUGGCUCACCUAGGCGACGAUCCCUAGCUGGUCUGAGAGGAUGACCAGACACACUGGAGCUGGGACACAGUCCAGACGCCUAAGGUAGGCAGCAGUGGGGAAUAUUGCGCAAUGGGCGCAAGCCUGAUGCAGCCAUGCAGAGUGUGGGAAGAAGGCGUUCGGGGUGUAAAGCACUUUCAGCGAGGAGGCGUUACUCGCAGAAGAAGCACCGGCUAACUCCGUGCCAGCAGCCGCGGUAAUUC